AAAUUGAAGAGUUUGAUCAUGGCUCAGAUUGAACGCUGGCGGCAGGCCUAACACAUGCAAGUCGAGCGGCAGCGGAAAGUAGCUUGCUACUUUGCCGGCGAGCGGCGGACGGGUGAGUAAUGUCUGGGAAACUGCCUGAUGGAGGGGGAUAACUACUGGAAACGGUAGCUAAUACCGCAUAACGUCGCAAGACCAAAGAGGGGGACCUUCGGGCCUCUUGCCAUCAGAUGUGCCCAGAUGGGAUUAGCUAGUAGGUGGGGUAACGGCUCACCUAGGCGACGAUCCCUAGCUGGUCUGAGAGGAUGACCAGCCACACUGGAACUGAGACACGGUCCAGACUCCUACGGGAGGCAGCAGUGGGGAAUAUUGCACAAUGGGCGCAAGCCUGAUGCAGCCAUGCCGCGUGUAUGAAGAAGGCCUUCGGGUUGUAAAGUA
rnacentral:rRNA from 1 species